rnacentral:rRNA from 1 species
GAUGAACGCUAGCGGCAGGCUUAAUACAUGCAAGUCGAGGGGCAGCAGUUUUGUAGCAAUACAGAAGCUGGCGACCGGCAAACGGGUGCGGAACACGUACGCAACCUUCCUUUAACUGGGAGAUAGCCCACCGAAAGGUGGAUUAAUAUCCCAUAGUAUAUUUGAGUGGCAUCACUUAGAUAUUAAAGCUCCGGCGGUUAAAGAUGGGCGUGCGUCUGAUUAGGUAGUUGGCGGGGUAACGGCCCACCAAGCCCACGAUCAGUAGCUGAUGUGAGAGCAUGAUCAGCCACACGGGCACGGAGACACGGGCCCGACUCCUACGGGAGGCAGCAGUAAGGAAUAUUGGUCAAUGGACGCAAGUCUGAACCAGCCAUGCCGCGUGGAGGAUGAAGGUCCUCUGGAUUGUAAACUUCUUUUCUUUGGGACGAGACCCCUGUUUCUACGGGGACUGACGGUACCAGAGGAAUAAGCACCGGCUAACUCCGUGCCAGCAGCCGCGGUAAGAC